AUGGCCUGGUCCUGUUUCCUCCUCACAUUCUUUGUUCAGUGCUCAGGGUCCUGGGUCCAGUCUGUGCUGAUUCAGCAGCCCUCACUGUCUGGGGCUUCAGAACAGAGUGUCACCAUCUCCUGCACUGGAAGCAGCAACAAUAUUGGUGACAAUUUCGUGCACUGGUAUCAGCAGCUCUCAGGAACAGCACCUAAACUCAUCAUCUAUGAUGAUAAUGAUCGGCCCUCAGGGGUCCCUGAUCGUUUCUCUGGCUCCAGGUCUGGCAACUCUGCUUUACUGACCAUCACUGGGCUCCAGCCUGAGGAUGAGGCUGUCUAUCACUGUCAGUCUUAUGAUGACAGCCUGAAUACUCGCACAGUGCUCCAGGCUCAAGGGGAAGUAAGACAAGAACCCCUUUACCAUCUGUCAGGAGGGCAAACACCCUGCAGCUUUGCUCAGGCCUGUUUUUUGACUUUUUCUUCUACCACUACUAUAGGCCCAGCAGAAUCUACUGGCAUUUAUUUGAAGGAGAAGCCUCUUGUCCUCUGCCCUCAGAAUCAGUCACAUCAACAUGUUUCUAAAAAAAUGUAUUCAUAA